GCCCGGAUGGUGGAAUCGGUAGACACAAGGGAUUUAAAAUCCCUCGGCGUUCGCGCUGUGCGGUUCAAGUCCCGCUCCGGGUACCA
rnacentral:tRNA from 1 species